CGUAGGCUAGAUACUCAGCCUAUAUAGAGUAGAGUUUGGGGCAAUCGGGACACAACGCCAUGUAGUUUUAGCAGGGGCGUGUGUCGUAUGCUAGGCGUUUUCUGGUGAACGACACAUACAGACAUUGGGAGCAAGUCGCCGAGGUUGGCUCGCGAUCUUGGCUCCAAGAUGUGUGAGUUGUUUGCCAGAGACAACAUGUAGGAACUUUAAUUCUUAAGGACCAGGAGUGACAGUCUUGGCGACUGUCUGAGUCUUAGUGACAUUCUGACGGUCAGAGACGGUAGAUCUAUAUAUGGUGUAUCCUUGCCUGCUACUCAAGGGGAUAUCACUCUAGUAUUGAGCGGACUGUGACGUUGGGUUCCAGGAUCCGUGCAGAGACUAGAGAGAGAGAGAGAGAGAGAGAGAGAGACAAGAGAAAUGGAAAGUUCAUCGUGACCUACAGCCAAGCAUCAAUGUCUAUGUGAUUAUUAAAUUUUAAUUCUAGAAUCACAUGUUAUAUGUAACUAUAGUUGUUAAUUAAAUAUUUAUUUUUCAUAUGCAAA